UGUGAAUAUCACAAAUGACAA
ensembl:piRNA 21ur-4998 ncRNA